UCGGUUCUUUCCAUCCUGGCCGUGCAGCAGCGGCCAAGGGUGAGGUUGUUCGCCUAUUAAAGGAGAUCGUGAGCUGGGUUUAGACCGUCGUGAGACAGGUCGGUUACUAUCUACUAGAGGUGCACGAGGUCUGAGGGUAAGCUGCUUUUAGUACGAGAGGAACCAAGCAGCGGCGCCACUGGUGUACCGGUUGUCUGACAAGGCAACGCCGGGCAGCUACGCGCUAAGGAAUAAGAGCUGAAUGCAUCUAAGCUCGAAAUCUGACUCAAAAAGAGACCUCAUUAAGGAUUCCGGUAAAAGACCGGUUUGAUAG
rnacentral:rRNA from 1 species